CAAUCCCUGCACAGCCGCCAUCCACCCAAUCGCCAAGCUCCUCCUCGCCAAUGCCUCUCCUCCUCCUCUCUCUCCCAGCCGCCGCCUUCGCGCCUCUCCUCAUCCACGACGCAUCCCCUCCCGCUCUCCUCAUUCGUGUUGAGGCUGGCGUCUGCUCCUUGCCUCCCCCCUUGUGCUGCCAUCUGCGGCCUCGACCCGCCCGGUCGAAAUACACGUGGCUGUGGCGACCCGGGAGUAGUGGUUCCUAUGAGAUUUCGCGGCUGUGGGCGAUUUCCUGGCCGGGAUGCUCCUCCUCGCUGUCGAUCUGGCCGACGGCAGGGCGGUUCAUAGCUGGGAACGGCCAUCGAAGCUCCUGCCCCCGCCCACUGCUCGCACCAAAGGACGGUUUCUUUCCCUCCCUCUCUCUAUAUAUUCCCGGUAACCUCAUUUUUUAGUUAAGCUGCACAUCGCAUCUGGUUAUGUCCCUGCUGUUGUACAGGAUACCACCUCUUUCCUUCUUUCUCUUACCAAUUGUUUUUGCUCAUAGUUCUAUGCUUUAAAUCGGUUGAGAAAUCUAACAGUUUUUCUGUGGCUACUGUACAGAUCUGCUCGAAUACUGCUCAAUUUCUCAGUUUUCAAAUUGCUUGGGGCGAAGAUUCGGUUAAGUGUAAUCUUCAAUCACUGUAUUUGGAAAUUGACUACUGCAAGUUCCAUUUCAGGUCAUGGUUGUCUUACAAUAAUGUGGGGUGCUGCAAAAAAUAUGUCUUCGCUGGCUGGCACUUUGAAUUUGUCCCCAAGGUGUGGUUCUUAUGUGCUAGGCGCCCUAAAUUAUCGGUGAAGUAAGAAGCUUGUCCAGACAUAUUUGUGUCUUUCCAAAUCAGUUGAAAAUGAGUGACAUUAUUGUCCAAACAUACAACUUCCUUUUAAAUCGGAAGCGUCUCGAACUAUAUGCUGACUGUGUGGUUGUUCUUGACAAUACAACUCCUAAUAGAAUGGUCCUCCGACGUUAGUUUAAAUCAUACUUUGGACAAAAAAACUCUUUGGUCUCCACUAUUAUAUCUGCAAGCACAACCACGUUGAGGUAUCCUGGAUAUAUGAAUAAUGAUCUGGCUGGCCUGCUUGCCUCCUUGAUCCCAACUCCAAGGUGCCAUUUUCUGAUGAUAGGUUAUACACCAUUGAUUAACGCCAGGCUUGACCUGAUUUAAGUUUCUGCAGAACCUUUUUUCCUUGUGUGCUAGAUUUUUCAGCUCAAGAAGAUCCACCCUACAACUAUCUGCAAAGUUUAUAUGCAUGGUUAAUAUUGAGGAUUCUUCUGGUUGGAGCUCCUCGAGGAUCAUCAGUAACCUAGAAAGUGUGCUCUGGAUGUUGGAUCAGCUGCAUAUCAGACUUGAGUAUGUUUAGUUAGUUCAACUUAAAUAUCUGAAUUUUCUGGCAUUAUUUCAACCAAAUUAUGUUAUUAUCUACCUAUGGAGGUAUCGAUUCUGAUCUCUAGAUACUUUUAUAUGAACGGUACUUAUUAUCUAUUUUAUAGUGUCCAAAUAGUCAUUGAGGUUUUGUCUCACUUUCCUAACAUU